rnacentral:rRNA from 1 species
UCCAGACUCCUACGGGAGGCAGCAGUGGGGAAUAUUGCACAAUGGGGGGAACCCUGAUGCAGCGACGCCGCGUGGGUGAAGGAGUACUUCGGUACGUAAAGCCCUAUCAGCAGGAAAGAAAAUGACGGUACCUGACUAAGAAGCCCCGGCUAACUACGUGCCAGCAGCCGCGGUAAUACGUAGGGGGCAAGCGUUAUCCGGAUUUACUGGGUGUAAAGGGAGCGUAGACGGCAGUGCAAGUCCGGAGUGAAAGCCCGGGGCUCAACCCUGGGACUGCUCUGGAAACUGUAAAGCUGGGGUGCGGGAGGGGCAGGCGGAAUUCCUGGUGUAGCGGUGAAAUGCGUAGAUAUCAGGAGGAACACCGGCGGCGAAGGCGGCCUGCUGGACCGUAACUGACGUUGAGGCUCGAAAGCGUGGGGAGCAAACAGGAUUAGAUACCCGCGUA